CGGGUGAGUAACACGUGGAUAACCUACCUAUAAGACUGGGAUAACUUCGGGAAACCGGAGCUAAUACCGGAUAAUAUUUUGAACCGCAUGGUUCAAAAGUGAAAGACGGUCUUGCUGUCACUUAUAGAUGGAUCCGCGCUGCAUUAGCUAGUUGGUAAGGUAACGGCUUACCAAGGCAACGAUGCAUAGCCGACCUGAGAGGGUGAUCGGCCACACUGGAACUGAGACACGGUCCAGACUCCUACGGGAGGCAGCAGUAGGGAAUCUUCCGCAAUGGGCGAAAGCCUGACGGAGCAACGCCGCGUGAGUGAUGAAGGUCUUCGGAUCGUAAAACUCUGUUAUUAGGGAAGAACAUAUGUGUAAGUAACUGUGCACAUCUUGACGGUACCUAAUCAGAAAGCCACGGCUAACUACGUGCCAGCAGCCGCGGUAAUACGUAGGUGGCAAGCGUUAUCCGGAAUUAUUGGGCGUAAAGCGCGCGUAGGCGGUUUUUUAAGUCUGAUGUGAAAGCCCACGGCUCAACCGUGGAGGGUCAUUGGAAACUGGAAAACUUGAGUGCAGAAGAGGAAAGUGGAAUUCCAUGUGUAGCGGUGAAAUGCGCAGAGAUAUGGAGGAACACCAGUGGCGAAGGCGACUUUCUGGUCUGUAACUGACGCUGAUGUGCGAAAGCGUGGGGAUCAAACAGGAUUAGAUACCCUGGUAGUCCACGCCGUAAACGAUGAGUGCUAAGUGUUAGGGGGUUUCCGCCCCUUAGUGCUGCAGCUAACGCAUUAAGCA
rnacentral:rRNA from 1 species